GAUGAACGCUGGCGGCGUGCCUAAUACAUGCCAGUCGAGCGAACAGACGAGGAGCUUGCUCCUCUGACGUUAGCGGCGGACGGGUGAGUAACACGUGGAUAACCUACCUAUAAGACUGGGAUAACUUCGGGAAACCGGAGCUAAUACCGGAUAACAUGUUGAACCGCAUGGUUCAACAGUGAAAGACGGUCUUGCUGUCACUUAUAGAUGGAUCCGCGCCGCAUUAGCUAGUUGGUAAGGUAACGGCUUACCAAGGCAACGAUGCGUAGCCGACCUGAGAGGGUGGUCGGCCACACUGGAACUGAGACACGGUCCAGACUCCUACGGGAGGCAGCAGUAGGGAAUCUUCCGCAAUGGGCGAAAGCCUGACGGAGCAACGCCGCGUGAGUGAAGAAGGUCUUCGGAUCGUAAAACUCUGUUAUUAGGGAAGAACGAAUGUGUAAGUAACUAUGCACGUCUUGACGGUACCUAAUCAGAAAGCCACGGCUAACUACGUG
rnacentral:rRNA from 1 species